rnacentral:rRNA from 1 species
GACGAACGCUGGCGGCGUGCCUAAUACAUGCAAGUCGAGCGAACAGAGAAGGAGCUUGCUCCUUCGACGUUAGCGGCGGACGGGUGAGUAACACGUGGGCAACCUACCUUAUAGUUUGGGAUAACUCCGGGAAACCGGGGCUAAUACCGAAUAAUCUGUUUCACCUCAUGGUGAAACACUGAAAGACGGUUUCGGCUGUCGCUAUAGGAUGGGCCCGCGGCGCAUUAGCUAGUUGGUGAGGUAACGGCUCACCAAGGCGACGAUGCGUAGCCGACCUGAGAGGGUGAUCGGCCACACUGGGACUGAGACACGGCCCAGACUCCUACGGGAGGCAGCAGUAGGGAAUCUUCCACAAUGGGCGAAAGCCUGAUGGAGCAACGCCGCGUGAGUGAAGAAGGAUUUCGGUUCGUAAAACUCUGUUGUAAGGGAAGAACAAGUACAGUAGUAACUGGCUGUACCUUGACGGUACCUUAUUAGAAAGCCACGGCUAACUACGUGCCAGCAGCCGCAGUAACAC